rnacentral:rRNA from 1 species
CUUUGGACAAUGGUAGGAGAGCGUUCUAAGGGCGUUGAAGCAUGAUCGUAAGGACAUGUGGAGCGCUUAGAAGUGAGAAUGCCGGUGUGAGUAGCGAAAGACGGGUGAGAAUCCCGUCCACCGAUUGACUAAGGUUUCCAGAGGAAGGCUCGUCCGCUCUGGGUUAGUCGGGUCCUAAGCUGAGGCCGACAGGCGUAGGCGAUGGAUAACAGGUUGAUAUUCCUGUACCACCUAUAAUCGUUUUAAUCGAUGGGGGGACGCAGUAGGAUAGGCGAAGCGUGCGAUUGGAUUGCACGUCUAAGCAGUAAGGCUGAGUAUUAGGCAAAUCCGGUACUCGUUAAGGCUGAGCUGUGAUGGGGAGAAGACAUUGUGUCUUCGAGUCGUUGAUUUCACACUGCCGAGAAAAGCCUCUAGAUAGAAAAUAGGUGCCCGUACCGCAAACCGACACAGGUAGUCAAGAUGAGAAUUCUAAGGUGAGCGAGCGAACUCUCGUUAAGGAACUCGGCAAAAUGACCCCGUAACUUCGGGAGAAGGGGUGCUCUUUAGGGUUAACGCCCAGAAGAGCCGCAGUGAAUAGGCCCAAGCGACUGUUUAUCAAAAACACAGGUCUCUGCUAAACCGUAAGGUGAUGUAUAGGGGCUGACGCCUGCCCGGUGCUGGAAGGUUAAGAGGAGUGGUUAGCUUCUGCGAAGCUACGAAUCGAAGCCCCAGUAAACGGCGGCCGUAACUAUAACGGUCCUAAGGUAGCGAAAUUC